GGGGAUAUAGCUCAGUGGUAUAGCAUUCGACUGCAGAUCGAGAGUUCCCGGUUCAAACCCGGGUGUUCUGUUCUUCA